rnacentral:rRNA from 1 species
AUUGAACGCUGGCGGCAGGCUUAACACAUGCAAGUCGAACGAGUGGCGGACGGGUUGGUCAUGCUUGGGCAUCUAGCUUAUGGAGGGGGAUAACUACGGGAAACUGUAGCUAAUACCGCGUACCAUAGGAUGAGCCCCAGUGGGAUUCGGUAGUUGGUGAGGUAAAGGCUCACCAAGCCGCCGAUCUCUAGCUGGUCUGAGAGGAUGACCAGCCACACUGGGACUGAGACACGUCCCAGACUCAGACGGUAGGCAGCAGUGGGGAAUAUUGCGCAAUGGGGGCAACCUGACGCAGCCAGGCCGCGUGAAUGAAGAAGGCCUUCGGGUUGUAAAGUUCUUUCGGUAGCGAGGCGUUAACUACAGAAGAAGCACCGGCUAACUCCGUGCCAGCAGCCGCGGUAAUAC